rnacentral:rRNA from 1 species
UACGUAGGGUGCAAGCGUUAAUCGGAAUUACUGGGCGUAAAGCGAGCGCAGGCGGUGAUGUAAGACAGAUGUGAAAUCCCCGGGCUCAACCUGGGAACUGCAUUUGUGACUGCAUCGCUGGAGUGCGGCAGAGGGGGAUGGAAUUCCGCGUGUAGCAGUGAAAUGCGUAGAUAUGCGGAGGAACACCGAUGGCGAAGGCAGCCCCCUGGGUCGAUACUGACGCUCAUGCACGAAAGCGUGGGGAGCAAACAGG